UAGGCUCUCCUAUAUAAAAUGAUGUACGGCUGACCAUCGGCAUAGUUACUUCUGUGAGGAACAACAAGCUUCAACAUGGUCAGAUUAGCGCUUGUAAUUUUGGUAGUAUUCGUGAUCUCCUGUUUGGCCGCUCCAGGAGAGCGAGUAAGGCGACACGGCUACGACUUCACCCACGGGGGCUAUGGCGGCGGCUACGGUGGAGGUGGCUAUGGUCACAAUGGACACGGUGGUCACGGCUUCGGAGGCAGCAUUCCGAUCUCACAAUCCUUCUCCAAGUCCUCAGCUACUGCCAGUUCCAGUUCUGGCGGUGGCACGAUUGUCGGCUGAUGUUUUUGGACUAAGAUAACACAUUCAUACAACUCCGCAAUCCCUUCACGGAUAUUUAGAUCUAAAACUAACAUAAGUAGGUACAAUUGUAAGAUUCCUUAGAUUUAAGUUUAUAAUAAUAUAACAUUUUGUGAUAAUGUUUACAAAAACCUAACGACGACGAGGCUAGCAAUAACGUAUAUGUCUAUCUUUAACUAAUUUAUUUGUCUAGAAUUAAAUAAACUGAUUGAUUUUUUGCAAAUUACAA